rnacentral:rRNA from 1 species
AGUGGCGGACGGGUGAGGAAUACGUAGGGAUCUGCCUUUAAGUGGGGGAUAACCCGGGGAAACCCGGAUUAAUACCGCAUGAUCUCGCAAGAGCAAAGUGGGGGAUCGCAAGACCUCACGCUUUUAGAGGAACCUACGUCGGAUUAGCUUGUUGGUGAGGUAAUGGCUCACCAAGGCGACGAUCCGUAACUGGUCUGAGAGGAUGAUCAGUCACACCGGAACUGAGACACGGUCCGGACUCCUACGGGAGGCAGCAGUGGGGAAUAUUGGACAAUGGGCGAAAGCCUGAUCCAGCAAUACCGCGUGUGUGAAGAAGGCCUUCGGGUUGUAAAGCACUUUAAGUUGGGAAGAAAAAACUUCGUCUAAUACAUGAAGUCUUGACGGUACCGACAGAAUAAGCACCGGCUAACUCUGUGCCAGCAGCCGCGGUAAUACAGAGGGUGCUAGCGUUAAUCGGAUUUACUGGGCGUAAAGCGUGCGUAGGCGGUUUGAUAAGUCGGUUGUGAAAGCCCCGGGCUCAACCUGGGAAUUGCGGCCGAUACUGUCAGACUAGAAAACGGUAGAGGGAGGCGGAACUCCAGGUGUAGCGGUGAAAUGCGUAGAUAUCUGGAAGAACACCGAUGGCGAAGGCAACCUCCUGGGCCUGUUUUGA